rnacentral:rRNA from 1 species
AGUGGCGGACGGGUGAGUAACGCGUGAGAAUCUGCCUUCAGGUCGGGGACAACAGAGGGAAACUUCUGCUAAUCCCGGAUGAGCCUUAGGGUAAAAAAUUUAUUGCCUGGAGAUGAGCUCGCGUCUGAUUAGCUAGUUGGUAAGGUAAAAGCUUACCAAGGCAACGAUCAGUAGCUGGUCUGAGAGGAUGAGCAGCCACACUGGGACUGAGACACGGCCCAGACUCCUACGGGAGGCAGCAGUGGGGAAUUUUCCGCAAUGGGCGAAAGCCUGACGGAGCAAGACCGCGUGGGGGAGGAAGGCUCUAGGGUUGUAAACCCCUUUUCUUUGGGAAGAACAAAAUGACGGUACCAAAGGAAUCAGCCUCGGCUAACUCCGUGCCAGCAGCCGCGGUAAUACGGAGGAGGCAAGCGUUAUCCGGAAUGAUUGGGCUUAAAGCGUCCGCAGGUGGCAAUGUAAGUCUGCUGUCAAAACCCAGGGCUCAACUCUGGUCAGGCAGUGGAAACUACAUAGCUAGAGUUCGGUAGGGGCAAAGGGAAUUCCCGGUGUAGCGGUGAAAUGCGUAGAGAUCGGGAAGAACAUCGGUGGCGAAAGCGCUUUGCUAGACCGAAACUGACACUCAGGGACGAAAGCUAGGGGAGCGAAUGGGAUUAGAUACCCC